CCAUGUGCCCAACAAAUCCCACGCCAUAACUUCAUCUCCAUGCACCCCUUUCUAUGUAUUAGCAUGAGAUUUCUCACACUAAUCUAAAGCCUCACAUGCUCCUCUUUUGCAUGAAAAGGAAUCACGCCCUACUCCUAUUACACACCAUAAAAUUAGGAGGCAUCCAGGAGUUGGACACCCCCCAAACUCCUCUCUAAAAUCCUAACCGCCCACUAUAAAAUGGGGUCUCUUGGGCAUGGGUUUUUAAGAGCUUUUCAAUGUGAAGAAGAAAAAAAAUAUGAGGAAAAAUUAGAAGGAAGGGUUCCUUCUAGGCGUGAAAAAGAAGAGGAAGAAAGUCUUCCUCAUGGAGAAAAAGAAAAGGAAGACGAGUCUUCCUUAUGUGCAUGAGAUCCAGAGAGGUUUCAGCAUGAAAAAUCAAAUGGGUUCUGAUUUUUUUUUAUGGAGAUUUUAGAGAGGAAGAGUUCUUCUUUGUAGGCGUAGAAGAAGAAGAGAAAAUGUUUCUCUUAUGUAUGGAAGAAAAGAGAAAAAAAAAGUUCUUCUCUAGAUCUUUAGUGUAGGGAUCUCAUGCAUGGGUUUUAGGAAGGAAAAGAGAGUCUCCUUGUUCUUCUUUCCAUCAUCUUCCUCCUCUUCCUUCUCUACUCCAUCUUUCUUAGAGAGUCUGAGAGAUUGAUAGAGAUCAGUGACAUCAAUCAUUAAGAGGUAUCUUCUGUAAGAGAGCUAGUCCCCCAAUGAAGAUGUAGACCUCUGAUCAGAUUUGAGGGCCUCAUGUGGAUAUCCAUAGAGACUGGA
rnacentral:lncRNA from 1 species